AGUGAACGCUGGCGGUAGGCCUAACACAUGCAAGUCGAACGGCAGCACAGUAAGAGCUUGCUCUUACGGGUGGCGAGUGGCGGACGGGUGAGGAAUACAUCGGAAUCUACUUUUUCGUGGGGGAUAACGUAGGGAAACUUACGCUAAUACCGCAUACGACCUACGGGUGAAAGCAGGGGAUCUUCGGACCUUGCGCGAUUGAAUGAGCCGAUGUCGGAUUAGCUAGUUGGCGGGGUAAAGGCCCACCAAGGCGACGAUCCGUAGCUGGUCUGAGAGGAUGAAGAGCCACACUGGAACUGAGACACGGUCCAGACUCCUACGGGAGGCAGCAGUGGGGAAUAUUGGACAAUGGGCGCAAGCCUGAUCCAGCCAUACCGCGUGGGUGAAGAAGGCCUUCGGGUUGUAAAGCCCUUUUGUUGGGAAAGAAAAGCAGCAGGUUAAUACCCCGCUGUUCUGACGGUACCCAAAUAAUAAGCACCGGCUAACUUCGUG
rnacentral:rRNA from 1 species